UACGUAGGGGGCAAGCGUUGUCCGGAAUCAUUGGGCGUAAAGAGCGUGUAGGCGGCCUGGUAAGUCCGCUGUGAAAGUCCAGGGCUCAACCCUGGAAUGCCGGUGGAAACUGUCAGGCUCGAGUCCGGAAGAGGCGAGUGGAAUUCCUGGUGUAGCGGUGAAAUGCGUAGAGAUCGGAAAGAACACCAACGGCGAAAGCACUCUGCUGGGCCGACACUGACACUGAGAGACGAAAGCUAGGGGAGCGAAUGGG
rnacentral:rRNA from 1 species